GUGGGGAAUAUUGGACAAUGGGGGCAACCCUGAUCUAGCCAUGCCGCGUGAGUGAUGAAGGCCUUAGGGUUGUAAAGCUCUUUCAGUGGGGAAGAUAAUGACGGUACCCACAGAAGAAGCCCCGGCUAACUCCGUGCCAGCAGCCGCGGUAAUACGGAGGGGGCUAGCGUUGUUCGGAAUUACGGGGCGUAAAGCGCACGUAGGCGGAUCGGAAAGUUGGGGGUGAAAUCCCAGGGCUCAACCCUGGAACUGCCUUCAAAACUAUCGGUCUGGAGUCCGAGAGAGGUGAGUGGAAUUCCGAGUGUAGAGGUGAAAUUCGUAGAUAUUCGGCGGAACACCAGUGGCGAAGGCGGCUCACUGGCUCGGUACUGACGCUGAGGUGCGAAAGCGUGGGGAGCAAACAGGAUUAGAUACCCGGGUAGUCC
rnacentral:rRNA from 1 species